ACAUUGUGGAACUUGGAAGAAAGGUAGACAAUUGCAGUACCUAAACUUGGUUCACUCAACAUUAACACGUGCAUAUCAGUGUGAAUGAGAAUAUUUAUCUAUCUAUAAUUCAAGUAAUAGUUGUUAUGAUGUUGUAAAAUCAUAGUAAACUGCCUAAAUGUGUUUGAGGUCCUAAAUCUAUUUACUGAGCAUUUAUAAUUUUCAAUUAGAAUGUAUGGUUUCCAUGUUCUACAGAAGCAUAAAAAUAUAAUCUAUAGUGCUUGCAUGUAUUUUUGUUAUGCAUUGGAAAUAAAUUGUCUUUGAAAUCACAUUUGGGGCCCUGUUAUUUUGUUGGUGUUUUAUCAUUCUCAUUUUGAAUGCGUAGUUGAAGAGCCUGAGUGAUGCAUAUAACAUUCUCCAUCCUAUUCCUAUAAUUUAUGUCCUAAUAUAUGUUAUAGGAAAGGGAAAAGGCUGCAGAG
rnacentral:misc_RNA from 1 species